rnacentral:rRNA from 1 species
GUCGGGAAUUUUGGGCAAUGGGCGCAAGCCUGACCCAGCAACGCCGCGUGAAGGAUGAAAUCCCUCGGGAUGUAAACUUCGCAAGAACGGGAAGAAUAAGUCUGUGUGAAUAUCACAGGUGAUGACGGUACCGUUUGUAAGCUCCGGCUAACUCCGUGCCAGCAGCCGCGGUAAUACGGGGGGAGCAAGCGUUGUUCGGAUUUACUGGGCGUAAAGGGCGCGUAGGCGGCCAGUGCAAGUCAGUUGUGAAAUCUCCGAGCUUAACUCGGAAAGGUCAACUGAUACUGCUCGGCUAGAGUGCGGAAGGGGCAACUGGAAUUCUUGGUGUAGCGGUGAAAUGCGUAGAUAUCAAGAGGAACACCUGCGGCGAAGGCGGGUUGCUGGGCCGACACUGACGCUGAGGCGCGAAAGCUAGGGGAGCGAACGGGAUUAGAAACCCCGGUAGUCC